GCCGGUGUGGCGGAAUGGUAGACGCAAGCGACUCAAAAUCGCUCGCCGCGAGGCGUGCUAGUUCGACUCUAGUCACCGGCA
rnacentral:tRNA from 1 species